rnacentral:rRNA from 1 species
ACAGAACGUCACAGAGGGUGAGAAUCCCGUGCGAUGAGAUGUCCCAGACCUAUGUAAAGUUCCUUCGAAGAGUCGAGUUGUUUGGGAAUGCAGCUCUAAGUGGGUGGUAAAUUCCAUCUAAAGCUAAAUAUUGGCGAGAGACCGAUACGCGAACAAGUACAGUGAUGGAAAGAUGAAAAGAACUUUGAAAAGAGAGUGAAAAAGUACGUGAAAUUGUUGAAAGGGAAGGGCUUGAGAUCAGACUUGGUAUUUUGUAUGUUACUCUCUCGGGGGUGGCCUCUACAGUUUACCGGGCCAGCAUCAGUUUGAGCGGUAGGAUAAGUGCAAAGAAAUGUGGCACUGCUUCGGUAGUGUGUUAUAGUCUUUGUCGAUACUGCCAGCUUAGACUGAGGACUGCGGCUUCGGCCUAGGAUGUUGGCAUAAUGAUCUUAAGUCGCCCGUCUUGAAACA